rnacentral:misc_RNA from 1 species
AAGAAGAGCUGGAGGUGACGAUGAAGAUGACGAUGACGAAGAUGAAGAUGGAGAUGAGGAUGAUGAAGAUGAGGAUGAGGAUGAAGAGGACGAAGACGAAGACGACGAGGAGGAGACACCUCAGCCACCAGCCAAGAAGAGGAAGUGAAAAUAUCGAUUGGCCCUCCACAUUGUCAAGUUUCGAGUAGUGAGGGAAGUUUAGCUAGUGUUAGACUUUGCUUUAGGGGUAGGAACAUUGU